CCUACGGGUGGCAGCAGUGAGGAAUAUUGGUCAAUGGACGAGAGUCUGAACCAGCCAAGUAGCGUGAAGGAUGACUGCCCUAGGGGUUGUAAACUUCUUUUAUAUGGGAAUAAAAUGUUCCACGUGUGGGAUAUUGUAUGUACCAUAAGAAGAAGGAUCGGCUAACUCCGUGCCAGCAGCCGCGGUAAUACGGAGGAUCCGAGCGUUAUCCGGAUUUACUGGGUUUAAAGGGAGCGUAGGUGGAUUGUUAAGUCAGUUGUGAAAGUUUGCGGCGCAACCGUAAAAUUGCAGUUGAAACUGGCAGUCUUGAGUACAGGAGAGGUGGGCGGAAUUCGUGGUGUAGCGGUGAAAUGCUUAGAUAUCACGAAGAACUCCGAUUGCGAAGGCAGCUCACUGGACUGCAACUGACACUGAGGCUCGAAAGUGUGGGGAUCAAACAGGAUUAGAUACCCGUGUAGUC
rnacentral:rRNA from 1 species